AAUUAAUGAAAAACUACGAAAGCAGAUGAUUUCUACUCCUUGAUGUUUUCCUGGGUUACUCGUAUCAUUGCUGAUCAUACAUACGUUACAAUUAUUAGAUAUUUCUUUAGUGGUACGAGAAAUUCGAGCACCUCUCGUAUUUAUCAAUUUGGUAAGCACGUAUUUUUCUACAUCGUCUCAUUAUGAGAAAAAAUAAUCCAAGUUUUGUACUACUUGCGGUGCACAUGUUCUAAAUUUUCACAAGAACAAGGAA